rnacentral:rRNA from 1 species
UACGUAGGGGGCAAGCGUUGUCCGGAUUUAUUGGGCGUAAAGAGCGUGUAGGCGGUUUGGUAGGUCCGUUGUGAAAACUCGAGGCUCAACCUCGAGACGCCGAUGGAAACCAUCAGACUAGAGUCCGGAAGAGGAGAGUGGAAUUCCUGGUGUAGCGGUGAAAUGCGCAGAUAUCAGGAGGAACACCGGUGGCGAAGGCGCUCAUCUGGGCCAAUACUGACGCUGAGGAGCGAAAGCGUGGGGAGCGAACAGG